AUGAACGCUGGCGGCGUGCCUAAUACCUGCAAGUCGAGCGAACAGACGAGGAGCUUGCUCCUCUGACGUUAGCGGCGGACGGGUGAGUAACACGUGGAUAACCUACCUAUAAGACUGGGAUAACUUCGGGAAACCGGAGCUAAUACCGGAUAAUAUAUUGAACCGCAUGGUUCAAUAGUGAAAGACGGUUUUGCUGUCACUUAUAGAUGGAUCCGCGCCGCAUUAGCUAGUUGGUAAGGUAACGGCUUACCAAGGCAACGAUGCGUAGCCGACCUGAGAGGGUGAUCGGCCACACUGGAACUGAGACACGGUCCAGACUCCUACGGGAGGCAGCAGUAGGGAAUCUUCCGCAAUAGGCGAAAGCUUGACGGAGCAACGCCGCGUGAGUGAUGAAGGUCUUCGGAUCGUAAAACUCUGUUAUUAGGGAAGAACAAAUGUGUAAGUAACUAUGCACGUCUUGACGGUACCUAAUCAGAAAGCCGCGGCUAACUACGUG
rnacentral:rRNA from 1 species